GACUUAAUAUUGGCUACUAAGAGAACCUCCAUCUCCACGCGAUUCACUCCGUCGAACGACAAGCGUUUCAUCCGGGUGACUAGGGACGACGAAACGAGCGAACCCAACGCGGAUCGCAACUUUCCGAGAAAAGUGACAGUUGAUUUAACCCAAAAACGGCCCUUACGUAGUGACGUCUCAGUCUCUACAACGGGCGGGAUAUCCGCAGUAGUAAGAUAACUAAUAACAUGGCAAAGUCUUACGAUUACUUGUUUAAAAUACUUUUAAUCGGCGAUUCAGGCGUCGGAAAGACCUGCGUGAUUCUCCGGUUUUCCGAAGAUGCCUUCAACUCGACGGUUAUCUGCACUCUUGGUGUUGAUUUCAAGAUCAGAACAAUAGAAUUAGAUGGAAAGAAGGUCAAGCUACAGAUCUGGGAUACAGCAGGACAAGAGAGGUUCAGGACCAUCACAUCAGCCUACUACAGAGGAGCCAUGGUAGGUUGCAUCCUCAUCUUACUAACUCACACUGCAGUACGGAUUCUCUCAUAAACCUAAAUGGGUGAAACAGUGUGUGUGAAUGGCAGCGUUUACCUUUACCAGAACCGCACCCACCAUUUGUUUUGGUUGUUUGUUUUGAACACAUCUGUGCCUUGUAAGUCGUACGUGGUUCAAUUAAGUCAAUCAAGUGUCCCAUUAUCCAGCUCAAAUUAACUGUGAUGAUUGACAUCAGGCUAUCUCGGUUCCUCAAAGUUUGAACCACAUGUCAGUCAUCACGUGUGCGCGUCCUGCGUCAAAAGGCAGAAGAGUCGAUCACCGAAACAAGGAUUUUUUUAACAGUACAAUGACAAACAAACUUAAAGGAAGAGAAACGAGGAACGGGGGACCUGGGGAAUUUCAGACACACUCAAUGCUUUGUAAUAGUAUUUUUGUGCCUCCUUUAGUUUAACGGGACGCCUGUGUUUGCAUGUCAAUCUCAAAUCACAUUAGACACUCGUCUGUAUUCAUGGACUAUUAAUAAUAAGUAAGAAACGGUGUCAUGUUUCUCUGGCUGGUCAAUUGUUUUGUGUCAUUGAC